rnacentral:rRNA from 1 species
CAGCCGCCGCGGGAAUACAGAGGGUGCGAGCGUUAAUCGGAUUUACUGGGCGUAAAGCGUGCGUAGGUGGUGGUUUAAGUCCGUUGUGAAAGCCCUGGGCCCAACCUGGGAAUUGCAGUGGAUACUGGGUCACUAGAGUGUGGUAGAGGAUAGUGGAAUUUCCGGUGUAGCAGUGAAAUGCGUAGAGAUUGGAAGGAACAUCUGUGGCGAAGGCGACUAUCUGGGCCAACACUGACACUGAGGCACGAAAGCGUGGGGAGCAAACAGGAUUAGAUACCCCCGUAGUCCCUGUCUCUUAUAC